rnacentral:tRNA from 1 species
GUCUUUUAGUGAAUAUAAGGCGAAAGAAGACUGAAAAUCCCCGUGUCGGCAGUUCGAUUCUGUCCCUGGCCACCA